rnacentral:rRNA from 1 species
AGGAUGAACGCUGGCGGCGUGCCUAAUACAUGCAAGUCGAGCGGCAGCGCGGUCUUCGGACUGGCGGCGAGCGGCGGACGGCUGAGUAACACGUAGGAACGUACCCCAAAGUGAGGGAUAAGCACCAGAAAUGGUGUCUAAUACCGCAUGUGCUCUAAGGAGUAAAGCUUCGGCGCUUUGGGAACGGCCUGCGCAUGAUUAGCUUGUUGGUGAGGUAAUGGCUCACCAAGGCGACGAUCAUUAGCUGGUCUGAGAGGAUGAUCAGCCAGACUGGGACUGAGAACGGCCCAGACUCCUACGGGAGGCAGCAGUAGGGAAUUUUCCACAAUGGGCGAAAGCCUGAUGGAGCAACGCCGCGUGCAGGAUGAAGGCUUUCGGGUCGUAAACUGCUUUUAUAUGUGAAGAAUAUGACGGUAGCAUAUGAAUAAGGAUCGGCUAACUCCGUGCCAGCAGCCGCGGUAA